rnacentral:lncRNA from 1 species
GUGCCAGGAAAGAGAGCCCGAACCCCCUGACGCCAGACCCCUUUUCCCUUCCAGCUCGGCCUUCUGGGACCCCCGGCCAGGGAGCAGGGAGCAUGGAGGAGUGUGUAGAGGACGCUGCGCUGGAGCCCUGCAGGUGGCCCCCCCAGGCCGCAGUGACGUUCCAGGAUGUGGCCGUGGACUUCACGCGGGAGGAGUGGAGGCUGCUGGAGCCUCCCCAGAAGGAGCUGUACUGGGAGGUGAUGCUGGAGAACUACAGGAACCUGGUGUGCCUGGGUGAGGAGGGCACCUCUGGGGCUGCGGAUCUGCUUCCUUGUCCUGGGCCCUGGCCAGGGAGCAGCAGGGAUUCUCUGGCCUGUCUCAUCUGGCCAAAAGCCAGGCUGGCCCUGCUGGGAACCAAGGGCUUCCCUGUGUGCUCCCGGCCCCGCUCUGCCCCCUCAGGCCACAGGGGCCUUCUCAAGGCUCAGGGGAAGUACUUGAAGUCAGAAGAGCUCCCGAUGGCUCCGUGUCGAAUGGCUGCAAUGGGUCCUUCUGAUCCCCUCUCCAUUCCUCGUUCCAUUCCCGAUUCUUCCAGGAAAGCCCACCCGUUCCCUGUGUGUGCCUUGGGUCCUGCCAUGACCGUCUCUCUCCGUCUGCCCUUUCCCUUGACUAGGCCUUGCUGAUUCCCGUCAGGAUGUGAGGAUCUCUGUGCUGGAGUCAGAGGAACCACAGUGGAUUCCAACCGGUGGUGUUCUAAGAAGCUGCUGGCCAGGUGAGUGUGUGUGUAUGUGUGUGAGUGAAUGAGUGAGUGCCGGGCCCUGGGGAGGACACAACACCCCAUCCACAGCUCUGCUGCUCAUUAGUCUCUCAGCCCACAGAGAAUGGGCUCCUGGGGGAUCCCCUCAGUGACCUUUUGGGUCACUGGCCAUAGAUCCUGCAGAGAAUUCCUUCCUCCCGCCUCCUCCACUCUGGGUGGGGGGUGUUGCCUCACCAGGAAUGGCUAGAAAAGGUCAGGUUCUGCUGGUGCCCUCACAGUAUGGGAAUGCAUUUCCACUGUGCGUGGCGCUUUGGGUGGUUUAGUCUUUUUUGGAAAGCAAACUGGAAUUUUUCAGCGUCAGAUCUACACAUGAAUUCUUUUUCUUAGUCCCAUUGAUCAUAUUCCCAUGACUCCUUGCAGAGGUCUAAUUCAGGUGAAGAUUUUUCCAGGCAUAUUUGACCUUUUAUAGCCCUCCCUUGUUGGCCUUGAGAGUUCUUCCUGACCCGGUCCUUCCUUGGGCUCUUCUUUUGAUAUCCUUAACUUGUGUCUUGUAAAGGUCAAAAUUAUAGUUGAGACUGAAAAAAUCUAAAUUUAAGUGGUCGCCAGGGGAAAUCCCAAAUAAUAAAAUACCCAAGUCAGCUGUACUUUUUUAUGGG